CAGCCGCCGCGGGAAAACCAGCACCUCGAGUGGUCAGGAGGUUUAUUGGGCCUAAAGCAUCCGUAGCCGGUUGCAUAAGUUUUCGGUUAAAUCUAUGCGCUUAACGUAUAGGCCGCCGAAAAUACUGUGCAGCUAGGGAGUGGGAGAGGUACACGGUACUCGAUAGGAAGGGGUAAAAUCCUUUGAUCUAUUGAUGACCACCUGUGGCGAAGGCGGUGUACCAGAACACGUUCGACGGUGAGGGAUGAAAGCUGGGGGAGCAAACAGGAUUAGAUACCCGGGUAGUCCCUGUCUCUUAUAC
rnacentral:rRNA from 1 species